GGUUGAUCCUGCCAGUAGUCAUAUGCUUGUCUCAAAGAUUAAGCCAUGCAUGUCUAAGUAUAAACAUCUUUAUACAGUGAAACUGCGUACAGCUCAUUAUAUCAGUAAUUAUUUAUUUGAUGGUACCUUACUACAUGGAUACCCGUAGUAAUUCUAGAGCUAAUACAUGCGUCAAGUCCCAACUCUUGCGGGGAGGGAUGUAUUUAUUAGAUAAAAAAUCAAUGCAGGUUUCGGCCUGGUUUAUUGGUGAUUCAUAGUAACU
rnacentral:rRNA from 1 species